UUCAGACUUGCUGUAUUUACCAAGAUCUGAGAGGGCAAUUCAGAGACAGGUGGUAGUAAACCAAGGCUUUCGCCAGGUGAAGCUCCUGAUUGCUUUUGCCCCAUAAAAUGCCAGCAGCUGCUCCCCUCUUGUUCCCUGCAGACUGAGGGGGCAAGAAGCUCCCCCGUGGAUAGUUUGAAGUAGAGAAGGAGAUCAAUUGGAAAAAUUCAACUGGCUGUUGUGCUGCUCGCCUUGUUGGAAAAGGAUAUUACAUUGGCCUGAUACCCUGAGCUAUUUGCACUGAUAUCCCCACGGAGGAGAAGAGCUGGCUGGGAGAAGAAAAUGAACAGUUCUAUUUAUGCAGCAAGUAAAUGAUUGUGGAGCAAGGACUGGUUUUCCAAGCCUUCAUUAACGAGAUGAUUAAUAGUGAUGGCGGAGCAAGGAGCUGUCACUUUGUCCACCAGAGCCAGGUCCGUGAUGCUCGGGCAAGUCCCUCCUCUGGCAGCACCUCAUGCACUGCAGUGCACAUUUUCUCCCACGUCCUAUGGUCCCAGACCGUGGGAAUGCUUCCUCCCAGGGCGAUGGAGUUUCCUCUGCCAUGGUCUCAGUGGAUUGCUCCAGCAGCUCCUUGGGAAUCCCACCUAGCCUGGCUGGGCUGCCCAGGGUGCUCGCAGCUUGCAGGACUUUGCCUCUUGAGUCCUGGGGAAACUGCUUACCCC
rnacentral:lncRNA from 1 species